UACGUAGGGUGCAAGCGUUGUCCGGAAUUAUUGGGCGUAAAGAGCUCGUAGGCGGUUUGUCGCGUCGGCUGUGAAAACCUGGGGCUCAACCCCGGGCCUGCAGCCGAUACGGGCAAACUAGAAUUCGGUAGGGGAGACUGGAAUUCCUGGUGUAGCGGUGAAAUGCGUAGAUAUCAGGAGGAACACCGGUGGUGUAGACGGCUUUCUGGACCGUAACUGACGCUGAGACACGAAAGCGUGGGUAGCAAACAGG
rnacentral:rRNA from 1 species